UACGUAGGGGGCGAGCGUUGUUCGGAAUUACUGGGCGUAAAGGGCGUGUAGGCGGUGCGGUAAGUCGGGCGUGAAAUCCCCGGGCUUAACCCGGGGCGGCCGUUCGAAACUGCCGUGCUAGAGUGCAGGAGAGGGAAGUGGAAUUCCCGGUGUAGCGGUGAAAUGCGUAGAUAUCAGGAGGAACACCGGUGGCGAAGGCGGAUCUCUGGGCCUUACCUGACGCUGAGGCGCGAAAGCGUGGGGAGCAAACAGG
rnacentral:rRNA from 1 species